UACAGAGGUCUCAAGCGUUGUUCGGAUUCAUUGGGCGUAAAGGGCGCGUAGGCGGCGGGGUAAGUCGGGUGUGAAAUCUCAGAGCUCAACUCUGAAACUGCACUCGAUACUGCUCUGCUUAAGGACUGGAGAGGAGACUGGAAUUCACGGUGUAGCAGUGAAAUGCGUAGAUAUCGUGAGGAAGACCAGUGGCGAAGGCGGGUCUCUGGACAGUUCCUGACGCUGAGGCGCGAAGGCCAGGGGAGCAAACGGG
rnacentral:rRNA from 1 species